rnacentral:rRNA from 1 species
CUACGGGCCGCACCAGUGAGGAAUAUUGGACAAUGGUCGAAAGACUGAUCCAGCCAUGCCGCGUGCAGGAUGACUGCCCUAUGGGUUGUAAACUGCUUUUAUACGGGAAGAAAAACACCUACGUGUAGGUGACUGACGGUACCGUAAGAAUAAGGACCGGCUAACUCCGUGCCAGCAGCCGCGGUAAUACGGAGGGUCCAAGCGUUAUCCGGAAUCAUUGGGUUUAAAGGGUCCGUAGGCGGGCUAUUAAGUCAGAGGUGAAAGUUUGCAGCUCAACUGUAAAAUUGCCUUUGAUACUGAUAGUCUUGAAUUGUAGUGAAGUGGUUAGAAUAUGUGGUGUAGCGGUGAAAUGCAUAGAUAUCACAUAGAAUACCGAUUGCGAAGGCAGAUCACUAACUAUAUAUUGACGCUGAGGGACGAAAGCGUGGGGAGCGAACGGGAUUAGAUACCCUUGUAGUC